GCCGGCUGCACGGCGGCUGCGCGGGGCUGCGGGAGCCUGCACCCCGCGCUGCGCUACCCCGACCGCGUGGGUUACUGCCGCCCCGCGCCCCUGAGGAAAGGCGGCGGCCGCGGGGGUUCGGCUCUGAAGGUCACAGAGUGCCGAGGCGGCGAUGGCAAGCAUCCACCCGCCGAGCGCCGGCGCCGGUGGCGGGAGUUUACCGUUUCCGGCGAGCGUGCCGACGGGCGUGAGCGUCCGCCUCGUCCGCGGCUGCCGGGACGAGCUUGCAACUCCCAGGGCUGCCGUGCAAGCCGACCCGGGCCAGCCGCGGGCCUCUGGGCAAGGUUUGCAAAUUUGCAGGACCGCAGGCUGCGGGGACACCCAGUGUGCAUAGAGCGGGGAAGAGGGCGAGUGUUUCGUGAUGGGUCCGAGGCCUUUAGGGCUUUUUAGAGCUCGAAGCUUUAUUUAUUUUUAUUGUUUAUCAUUAUUACUUUUUAAAGACGAUCUAGGUAACCUUGGCCGGCCCGCAGCUCCCAAGGUAGAACGGGCUCUGUCGAAACUUGUCCUUUGUAGGUCGCUACCGACCUAGGCGCCCCACUUUACAGAGAGCGACGGACCCGAGACUCGAACCUGCGCCCCUACCCUUCCAGGUGCUGGGUGGGCUCGCGCGCACCCGCUCGGCACCCGUCGCCCCGCCGUCCGCCUCGCCUCCGAGGACUUCGGCGUGAGCCCCGGGCGGAGCCUACGCCUUUAAGAAGGAUGGGCCGCGGCCUCCACGUCGCCGCCUUCUCCGCCCCUCGAGCCCCAACUGGUUGCGGACCGCGCUGGGGCCGCCCAACCAGCCCGGCCAGCACGUGGAUGCCGACGGGCCGACCGUGCUCUUCCCUGGGAAAACCCGGGUCUCAAGUAGCCCAGGCUAACCCUAAGCUCUAUGUUGAAGGAAGGAUGAUCUUGAACUCCUGAUCCCGCUGCCUCCCAAGUUUACAGGCAUGAAGGAUCCACAUUAGUUCUUUGUCCACCCCUUGUCCCAACUUCCGGUCGCUCAAAAGAACCUGCCCUCCCUGAGGUCGGCCUGCCCCAGCAACACCCCUCACGUGACUCAAGUUUACUGGCUUGCAACGUCCAAGGCAAGUCUGCAGCCUGGAGAGGUUGUGCGAGAGCGAGCGCUCAGGCGUGAGAUUCUCGCCCAGGCGGUUGGCAAGGCGGUACGAGAACCUUGACCGACCUUAGAAACGCCCAAGCCCUGGCUAGAGCUGCAAGCCGGGAGGCCAGAGGAGGUGGUGGCUACUGGCCCGGCUCACCGAGUGAGCCACACUGAGUCCAGUCGGCCCUGGAGGCAGCAUGUAGCCAUCAUACAGACGAAAAGGCCCAAGCCACCCCUUUGCACCGGAGAGGGCUGGGAAUGGCAGCAGCAGAUGGUGGUGAAAACUGGUGUCAAUCCUGCCCGGCGGCUAGGAGCUACUUAGGAGGCUGAGUUUAGCUGGCAGGCCCUGGGGCAGGCAGGAGCCGGGAACCCUUCAGUUUGCAUCCCUAAAGCCUGUGGAAACAUUUAUAGGUGGAGGCAGAACUUUGAACCCAAAGCCAGGACCCCACCAGCACCUCUCUGUCCAAGGGCAAAAUUGUCACCAUCUGGUGGAACCUUCCAGAGGCGAAGUGCUGGACUUCUGUCCAGCCACUGACUUCUGUCCCACUCUCCUGAGAGAAAUCCAAAUUCCAGGCCCAGGGAGGACCAGGGCACCUAACGGAAGGAAGGGGUGGCAAAGUCACAGGGAAAUGGAGAAAAGUGGGCCAGGUCAUGCCCUGUGAUGAUGUGGGAACAGCAGCCUCAAUUAUUUAUUUAUUUAUUUGUCUAUUUAUUCUGUGGUGUUUUUUUUUUUUUUUUGUUUUUUUGUUUUUUUUUUUGAGACAGGUUCUCACUAUGUAGCUCUGGCUAUCCUAGAAUCCACUAAAUACACCAGGCUGGCCUCAAACUCACAGAGAUCCGUCCAUCUCUGUCUCCCAAGUGCUGGAGUUACAGGGUGGGCCAGCAGCUUUGAUUUUAAGUAAUACACUAUGCGUUCUUUAGUUAGUAAAGGAAACCCUAAGUCUCAAAUGAGAUGGGGGGAUGGGGAAGAGCGAGCAAGCAGACCAGAGACAAUGCAGCGACUGAUGGUCCGGGUGAUUGGUGUAUUGACGCUCGUCACCUCGUUCUUUUUGCUUGUUUGCUUUUUUGAGACAGGGUUUCUCUGUGUAGCCCUGGGUCAUUCUGGACUCUGUAGACCAGGCUGACCUCGGAACUCAAAAGUUAUGCCUGCCUCUGCCUGCUUGCACCACCAUGGCCUGGCUCAUUGCCUCGUUCUUAACAACCUCUCUGAAGUUCUUAGAAGGUAUCUAGAAUCAGAACUAGUUAGUAGACAGCUGCUUUUGUUUAUUUUUAUUUUAUUUUGAGAGAGAGAAAGGAUCUAUGUAGACCAGGCUAGCCUAGAAGUCACUAUGCAGACCGGGCUGGCCUUGAACUUUCCGAGAUCUAUCUGCCUCCUGAGUGCUGAAAUUAAAGGCGUGCUCCACCAUGCUCAGCCUCCAAGGAUGGUUUAGUUUUGAAAUUUAAGGCAAAUUUCAUCUAAGGCUGAAGCUCAGUGUGGGAGCACAAGACCCUGGGUUCAAUCCUCAGCACCAGCAAACAAACAAACAAACAAACAAACAAACAGUGUAAUUACCCAUCUCAGACCCACUGCCAACAUGCUUUCCUGUUGGUGGCCUGAUGAGGUGUGUGUGGCUGAGUCCUCAGUACUUCAUUUGAGACACCCUACCCUGAAUGCGUCCUGCAGAGGCAUGUCUCCCAGAAGCCCUUCCGGAACCGGCCUCCAUUCUGGCUUCCAGAGAGCCGACUGCUGGAGCGUGGAUUUAGGAGUGUCUGUUUGCGUGAGUCACUUUAGGGACUCAUAGUAACUCUCAACGUUCUAAAAGUCUAAACCCUGACUCAGCCAAGCCACUUGGUUCCCCCUAGCCAACCGAUUUCACAAGGACAAAAUGGUAGACAGGCUGUCCUCGGUCGGAGCCUUGUUUGCAGCAGCGGGAACUGACAUGACGGAAAUGCUAAGUCCACGACAGGCCUGUGAUCCACCUCACACGCCCUGAAAGAGAGUCAGAGAUCUGCAUCCUGACGUAAAACAAUAUCAAAGGCAAAACGUUCGGGUUGGGAACAUGGCUCAGUGGUAGGGAGCUUGCUUGUCCAGCACCUGCCAGGUCCCAGGUUCCAUCCCCGGCAUCGGAAACCUGAAAGUCCGUCAAGCAGGAUACUGGACACUUGCACUUAGCAGGAACGCCACUGCCCCCUAGGGGACAUUUUUUAAAUAUACGAGGCCAGUUCCGCUGUGGAUCGGCAAAAGUAAUCGGAGUUUUGAAAUGUCGUGUAGUGAGUAGAACAUUCUGAUACAACAUGAAAUUUCAACAACAACACAAGGAAAAAGAAAACUCCACAUCUCUGUUUUCCUAGGCAAUCACAUGCAUGAGUAAGUUGUUCAUGGUUAUCAGAAGUAGGUAACAACUUCAUCCCAACUUUUUGUGUAUGUAUGUCUGUGUGUGCAGGUGUUGUGUGUGUGGAGGUCAGGGGUCAACCGAGGAUGUCACUCCCCAAGCACUGUCUACUUUAUUUUUGAGACAGGUCAUCUUACUAAUCUGGAGCUUGUCAGAGUAGUCUAGGCUAACAAACCAGUGAUCCCCGCCCCCUCCUCCCCAGGGCUCUGCCUGUCACUAUCUCUCCAGUCCCAGCUUUAUCCAUCCUUUUGCUGGUGGUCAAACGCAGGUGCCCAGGCUUGCAGAGCUUGCACUUUAUGCUGGUUUCUAAGUGCUGGCCUUGAACGCUGGAUCCUUCUCCCCCCCCCCCCUUGCCUGAGUUCUGGGAUUGUAGGCUCCUGCUAUACAGUUCACCCAUGCGUGUUUAAAGGAAAGGUAGAGAGCAGUCUCCCAAAGCAGGCGCUGGACGCUGGAAUGCAUUGGGCAGGCCCCUCCCUGUCCCACACAGUGCCCGCUGCCUCUGGGAACUUCAAGUUCCAGUUCAGUGUGGUGUUCACUGGGCUGAGACCCUAUCAAGAAUUUAGCAGUUCCUUUUCCAAGCACAUUCUUGAAUAAGGCCGGAGGUGGGGGGAGAGGGGGCCAAGAAACAAAACACUAACUGAACCUCAUCACAAAGGUUUGUGUUAAAGAUCUGGGGAGAGUUUACCAGGAAGGCUAUUGUGAUGAAAAUCACAGUAAGUGUUCGCAGGACAUGUUUGCUGUUCUGGUUGGACUGGCUCUGAGGUUUGUUUUGAUUUGUAAUUUUUUUGAGAUAAGGGCUCAAAUAAAACAGCCCAGGCUAGCCAGGUGGUGGUGGCGGCACACACCUCUGAUCCCAGCACUCUGGGAGGCAGAGGCAGGCAGAUCUCUGUGAGUUCGAGGCCAGCCUGGUCUACAAAGUGAGUGCAGGACAGCCAAGGCUACACAGAGAAACCCUGCCUCAAAUAACCAAAAAAAAAAAAAAAAAAAAAAAAACCAGGCCAGGCUGGCCUUACUCUACUCCCUGAGUAACUUGAACUCCUGGUCUUCCUGCCUCUACCUCCCAAUCGUUGGGGCUACAGGUAUCCACCACCACUGCCGGUUUAUGGGGUUCUGGGGAUGGAACCCAGGUCUCCUACAUGCCAGUCAAGUACUCCCUAACGGAGCUACAGCCUUAGCCUGCUUGUCUGCUUGUAGAGACAGUCUUGCUCUGUAGCCCACUUAGCCUUGAACCUAAUAUCCUCCUGCCUCUGCCUCCCCAGUGCUGAGUCACCCCAUAUGGCUAAGGCCUCGCUUUUUACAAACACUGAAAUAGGGUGAGCCGAGCUGGCAGCCUUCCCGACAGGUGGCAGAAAGCCUGAUGCACGGAGGACAGCUUUCUCCUCUAAUUGGUUGGCCUGUCUCCUCCCCAGGCUUCACAGGAGCUUGAUCUUUGACCUCUUCUCCCUCUCCCCAAUAGACUGAACCCAGACCUGUGUCAGGCAGAUGCUCCCCACCCCAGCUAUAGAACCCCAGUUUCUUCAAUAGAUGAAAACAUUGAUACUCCUGAGUCUUGCUUCCUUCUCAGGGAUGCGGGGGUCUCAGUGGAGAAAGGUGGCUUGUGACCUGGAAAGCUCUUGGUCGCAUCCCUGCAGUUUUCAUUCCUCAUCUCUGUCUGGGCUCCUGAGGAUGACGCUGAGGUCUGGGAAGGGUAGCCUCCAUGCCUGGGCACCAGCCCAUUGCUUCAGAGACAGAGCAUCAGGUUAAUCAUAAGAACCCUUUGAUGUCCUAAAACCAAAAAGGUCCCUCUGCUUUUAGUGCGCUGUUUUACAGGAUUUCUUCACAUCCAUUAUCCCAUUUGAACGUCACAUGACUGCGUGGAGAGUAUGCCAAGGCUGUGUGGGCCCAUUCCAGGAAGGAGGAACCUGAGUUCCUGGCGAAUUAGGUGGUGUUGUGUAACAAUUUCCUCUGAGUUGAAACUUUCUGGAGGUUCCCUAAGACUCUAAGUAAGGCUCCUUAAACCUCAGGCCCCUGAAACUUACCAGAUUCACAAAGCUCCUCCCUCCCUGAGGAUUAAAUAAGCAGUAAAGGCUGCUGAAAGGAGAGAAGGGGAAGGGGGUGUGGAACAGAGAGAGGGGUUGGAAGGGGAGGGGAGGAAGCGAUUCUGAGCUGUCAAAUUGCCUUUAGGCUGUACAGAGAGGUCCACAGUUCCAGCUUUUGUGAGUCAUCACCCAUGCUGGGGCAAGCUUUUUCGUGCUGCAGCUUCAACAUCAGGAUUCCUGUCAGUAACUCCUACAAACUCCUUGGUUUACCAAGUCGUGCUUUAGUGGUGUUAAGUUGACCUGUCAUGAGUUUCCUAUUCAGGGGGAGUAGAUGUUUCUUUCUUUUUAAUUAAUUAAGUAAGUAAUGUACAUUGGUGUUUUGCCUCUGUGUGUGAGAGAGUCAAAUCCCCUGGAGCCAGAGUUACAGAGAGUAGUGAGCUGCCAUAUGGGUGCCAGGAAUUGAACCCAGGUCCUCUAGAAGAGCAGUCAGUACUUUAAACCUCUGAGCCAUCUCUCCAGCCUGAGUCGAUGUUUCUUUAUGUCUCUCCAGGAACAGUGUCCCACAAUACAAAUGAUGCUGCACAGUUUGGCAGGCCCAAAGAUGAGUUGGAGGGAGGGGGUGGUUAGAUGGCCCCUGCACUGGGUACCAAGACAUGGACCACCCCCCCGGGGGAAAUCUUGCGUGGUCUGGGACGGAGUCCCUCCUUGCUGUAUUGGUGGUUGUGGAGAGCCGUGGGAUGCAGCUACAGACAAAGCCAGCCUGAGAGACAGUCCCGGAUGCUCCAGGUAACUCGGAAGCCUCCAGCAUCUGGAUGGAAAUGGCCUCUUGCUAAAGCAGCACAUCUGUGGCCAAGCUUGAGGAGCUGAGUUGGAUCACCAGGACUCGCACUGUGGCGUGGGCAGUUGCUUUUUAAGCUGCUUUGUUAUGUUUUCACCUGGAGAAGUAGUUUUUGAAAAAAGGUUAGAUGGUUCCACACCUUUUUCUGUUUGUAUUGAUGUGACUUGCCUAUAAAUAAUGAACCCUGGAAUAAACCUGGGCUGCUUCAGUCAGACUGACAGCCCUCUCAAGCCAA